CUAGGCCCCUCCCCUGUCCCUCAGCUCCUCAACCAUCACCUGGCAGCAGCUGUUUGGACACUGAAACUUUGACCUCUCCCAGGUGGGCACAGAACUCCCAGGCUCAGGACUCACCGUGGACUCCAGGGCUCCGCAGGCAUUCAGGGGAAAGGGGUGGGGAUGCAGGAAGGAGGCUCAGCCCAGAGGGCGGGGCCAAGAUCCUGAUUGGAGGAAAUCAAGGUGAGCGCGCUGCUACAAACUGGGCCCCUAUUUCUAGUUGGUGGCCAAACAUUUUGCCUGGGGCUGGGCCUGGGGCUGGGCCCGGGGCUGGGCCCGGGGCUGGGCCUGGGGCUUUGCCCGGGGCUGGGUCUAGGGCUGGGUCCAGGGCUGGGCCGCGGACUGGGCCUCGGACUGGGCCUCGGACUGGGCCUCGGACUGGGCCUCGGACUUGGCCUCGGAUUGGGCCGAGGAUUGGGCAGAGGCACGGGCCUACUGAUGGGCCUCCUGCUCGUGCCAGGUCGCCGCCGAGGUCUGCUUUGGCGGUUUCCACAUUCACGCAUCAGCCCGUUCACUGCGUCCGGGAGAAAACAGCUGGCGAGGCUCGGUUCCCCCCCACUCUCCGCCGGGAAGAGCAUGGCUUCGGGCGGCCCUGCGCAGAGAACGCAGAUGUGGACCCUCGGAAAGAAGAUUCGCACAGCCCUUAUCACCACCAUCGAUGUCUCCAUUAGGAAAUGAGCAUCAUACACAGGCUGAUUUUGCUCAGUGAGGUACUGUACCUCCUGUGCCUCAGAGAAUCUCAGUAAGUAUCUGUUCUCAAAUGGAGAACAGCCUGUAAGUAUUCAAUCUCUGCCCCUGGGGUCCUAACCAAGCCGAGUUCACUGGAUUCCCAGUGCCUGACUCAGUGCCUUGGUGGUGAAUAUUAAGCAUCACUAAAUAUUUCUGCAACUAAAAAAACAGCAGAAAAUGUUGUUAUGGCUUGUAUUUUGAUGUCCUCCAAAGCCUCAUGUGGUCAUAGGUGGAGCUUUUUGUGGAGUUGCUUCAUGGUGCAAUACUAGGCUCAAGGGGACUAGGAUUGAGGGUGUGAGUGCUGCCUGCCCUAAGUGUCUUGCACAAGAUAAAAGGUGUAGGAAGAUGCUUCGCUGCCUUCUGCCACCAUGAACUGUUUCCCCUCUGCCAUGUGCCACCCUGCCUUGGAUCCAGCCAAUUAUGGACUGAAACCCCUACAAAGUGUGAGCUAAAGAAACCUUUCCCCUUUAACUUAGCGUGUUGGGUUUGUCUAACCAAUGAGAAAAGUAACUAAGACACAGGUACCAUGUGCACGAGCUUGGUGGAUGAAAGCUGUGGAGGAAACCUGGGUAGGAGGGAGACAUGAA
rnacentral:lncRNA from 1 species